rnacentral:lncRNA from 1 species
UGCAAAAGAGUGAUGAAAGGAAACAGAGGAGGAAUGUUUUGAAGGAGCAAAGCAGAAAGGUAAAUUCAUUUAAAUUUCAAUUAACAUCUUUCACCUACCAUGCCAUCAUUUUUUUAUAAGUAUUGUGUUAUCAGGCCAAGUACUUUUUUGUUUGAUAGAGAUGAGUUACUAAUUUUAACUUUGUAUUUGCUUGAUUAUCUGAGGUCAAGGGCUCAGAUGGGAACAACCCCAGAAUGUUUGCAUAAAGGAAGAGCAAGAAAAAGAACGCCCACUUUUACCUUGUCUUUUUUGGCAAGCUUGUUUGACAAGAAAAGUACCCAGACCUGGACUGGCACAAGGCCAACAUCUGUUCCCAAUCCUUUUCUUUACAACAAACAAACUAUUCG